rnacentral:lncRNA from 1 species
UAAAUAAACAAGUGUACAAGCAAACAAGUUUACUUUCCUUCAUUUUGGACAAAAACCAUACAUUAUGUGUGGUCGUUUAGAUAUCAUGGAUUCUAGAUAACUUUAAUUAUGUUUCUCAAAAAUUUAAGUUUUUACUGCUAUUUCGACUACCUCUUUUUCUUCCUACCUCCCAAAUGACUCGUUACUAGAUGAACAAAGGAAAUCCUUCCAGUUGUUUCGGUAAAGAUCC